rnacentral:rRNA from 1 species
UUCCAUCUGGAAGAAUCUGGAGACAGGUGCUGCAUGGCUGUCGUCAGCUCGUGUCGUGAGAUGUUGGGUUAAGUCCCGCAGCGAGCGCAACCCUUGCCUUUAGUUGCCAGCAGUUCGGCUGGGCACUCUAAAGGGACUGCCGGUGUUAAACCGGAGGAAGGUGGGGAUGACGUCAAGUCCUCAUGGCCUUUAUGACCAGGGCUACACACGUACUACAAUGGCCGAUACAAAGGGCAGCGACACUGCGAGGUGAAGCCAAUCCCGUAAAAUCGGUCUCAGUCCGGAUUGGGGUCUGCAACUCGACUCCAUGAAGUUGGAAUCGCUAGUAAUCGUGGAUCAGCAUGCCACGGUGAAUACGUUCCCGGGCCUU